UUUUGACGAGAGACGGAACCCUAGUUCACAGACGUGAACUAAUGCCCAGAGGAGUGUUCAGAGGGACGAUGACCUGCUACGUGUGGCGUGUUGGCUCGGCAUCUUUUGACGAGAGACGGAACCCUAGUUCACAGACGUGAACUAAUGCCCAGAGGAGUGUUCAGAGGGAGGAUGACCUGCUACGUGUGGCGUGUUGGCUCGGUGCUUCCUUUGGUGAUCCCGUAGACGGUCUUCCUCGCGAGAGAAACCUCCGUAGAGCAAGCAGAUGCUCCCGUCUCCGCAGCUGACGUUUCAUGUGCGCUAUGAGGGCAUUCCUGUGUGCAAAUCUCGCGGAACAUGCUUCGCAAACGCAAGAGUUCUCUUCUGUGUCAGUGCUCUGGCGGACCUCAGGGUGGGCCGUCUCCACGCCGGAGCGAUCGUCGAACGGACACUCCGACGUCAUUUCCUUGGCCUCGUGUCGCUUCCUGGACUUGUCCUCCAAGUCCGGGGAGACCCUCGGGAAGAGUUCGGGAAAACGUUCGGACGAAG